rnacentral:rRNA from 1 species
AACGAACGCUGGCGGCAGGUCUUAGGCAUGCAAGUCGAACGGGUGUAGUAAUACACCAGUGGCGAACGAGUGAGUAACGCGUGGGAAUCUGCCCAUCUCUGGGGAAUAACGUUUGGAAACGAACGCUAAUACCGCAUACGCCCGCAAGGGGAAAGAUUUAUCGGAGAUGGAUGAGCCCGCGCUGGAUUAGUUAGUUGGGGGGGUAACGGCCUACCAAGGCGAUGAUCCAUAGCUGGGCUGAGAGGACGAUCAGCCACGCUGGAACUGAGAUACGGUCCAGACUCAUACGGGAGGCAGCAGCUAAGAAUAUUGGGCAAUGGAGGAAACUCUGACCCAGCCAUGCCGCGUGAAUGAAGAAGGCCUUCGGGUUGUAAAGUUCUUUUAGUCGUGACGAUGAUGACGGUAGCGACAGAAAAAGCACCGGCUAACUUCGUGCCAGCCGCCGCCGUAA